rnacentral:misc_RNA from 1 species
ACAAACUUGGUCAUUUAGAGGAAGUAAAAGUCGUAACAAGGUUUCCGUAGGUGAACCUGCGGAAGGAUCAUUAAUGAAUUUUAUGACAGGGUUGUAGCUGGCCCCAAUCGGGCAUGUGCACACCUUUGUACAUUCCAAUUCUUACACCUCUGUGCACUUUUCAUAGAUUUAGUGUGGAAAAGGUCAUAUCUGACCUUGGAAAUACUGAGUCUAUGUAUUUACAAACGCUUUAGUUAUUAGAAUGUCAUCCGCGUAUAACGCAAUAAAUACAACUUUCAGCAACGGAUCUCUUGGCUCUCGCAUCGAUGAAGAACGCAGC